AACAACGGUCGAGAUGGUCAGAGUGAAGAGUUCAAAGGUCGAGUCUCUCAUUUUCCAGAAGAAGUGAAACACGGCAACGCCUCCAUAAUCAUCAGAAAUACAAAGAUAUCUGACAGCGGAGAAUACACCUGUGAUUUUCCUCGUCUUCAGCCACCUCAAAAAUUCAACAUUAAGCUUGUUGUUUAUCCUGUCUUAAAAGACAGAAGAAGGGAAAACAUCCGAGUUAAAGGACCAGAGAAAACCUCAGGGUCUCCCAAUGUUGGAUUGUUGGAUGUUGCAUUGAUUGUUUCAUUUAUUGGAUUAAUUGGAACGAUUGUUGCUGCAGCAGUUUUUGUUGUUGUUGUUAUUCUUGAAAUUAGGCAACCCAAUUAUAAAAAAGGAUCACAAGACCCAGGAAACCCACCUAG